UUAAUCCUGAGAUGUACGCGAAGCUUAUUAAUUUUAACCUACAUGAGAAAUACGGGAUUUGCAAAACAGCUAGUGAAAUCGGGCUUCAAGUUUUACUUCACUUUUGUGACGGAAGAUGAUCGAGUUAGUUUGCGUAAAACCCACCUGCGAGAGGCAGGUAUAAAAUUGUAAGUGUGACGGCAUAUUUGGGAACAUU
rnacentral:other from 1 species